UGAAUUUGCCUUGCAUUGAGUGGGCGCUGUUACCUGCGCUGUGCACGCAUAAACGAGCGUCAUUGUGAAAAACGACGCUUCAAUAUCGGACUGUAAUAGCAAUUAAGUAAUUUAGAGGUGAAUAAAAACUUAAAAUAGUGAAAAAAUCUUAAUUAAAAUAGUAAUAAAACCCCAAGUUAUAAGAAAAUAAAGUGCCAAGUAGUGAAAAGUGAUGAAAUGUGAAAAAAGUAAAGUGAAAAAAUAUGUGCUGAACAAAGUGUUGAUUAGUGAGAAGCUAUUAUAGCAAUUAGUUCUCGAAAAGCAAUUACAGAAAUAAAUUUAAAAAAAGUGAAGGCAAAACAGUGCUUUAAUCACAAGAAAACGGAAAUUUGUAGUGCAAAGCUCCAUAAAAAAUGCAAUAAUAAUAAUAGUGAAUGUAAUUGCUAUCCCUUUGAUACAAUAAUACUUUUUAUUUGCAUAACAACGGUCAGUAGAGCAAAAUUAUACAGCAUUGUAAUAGUAGCAAAAAUAGCAAAAAUAAAAACAAAACAAAUUUUCUUUGUACAUAAAAUGCAACAAAACGCACGUGGAAAUGAUAGCCACUCUCAGCAGGGUAGGCGCCGUUACCUGCGCUGAGCAUGCAUAAAGAAGCGUCAUUGUGAAAAACUAUGCUUUAAUAUCAGACUGCAUGUGCAAUUAAGAAAUCUAGAGGUGAAUAAAAACUAAAAGUAGUGAAAUAUCUUAAAUAUUAGCUUGAUAAAUUCCAUAAUAAAAGAAAAUUAAGUGUGAAGAAAUGGAAGGUGAUUAAAAGUGUUUGUUUAUUUGUAUGCGGUGUUGUUUUUGUGAAUUACAACAAGAAAAGUGAAUGUGUAUGUACAAAUGUUCAACGAUUAACCAGGAAUCGACUGGUUUCAGUACUAGACUUAAACCUCAACAAAUGUGAUUUCGAAUACUGAAUGUGUUUUUCUCUGGAGGACUUUUUUGACAUGAAAAGGCUUUAAAGGGCCAUCUCAGUGGGCUCUCACAGCCGUGUGAAGCAAACGUGAACGCCACCAAAUAUGCAAAGCUGCAGCAUAAUUUGAUUGUGUACUGCGCAUUUUCAGUGGAGCGAGGACAUCGGCAUCUAAUAACGAGCGAUGGGAAUGAUAGAUGGACAACACGGAAAUAUAUUCA